CUCCAAGGAACAUUCAACGCUGUCGGUGAGUUUGGGAUUUGAAAAAACCACCGACCGUUGACUGUACCUUAGGG
rnacentral:pre_miRNA from 1 species